rnacentral:rRNA from 1 species
GCGCAGCAGUCGCGAAACCUCCGCAAUGCGGGAAACCGUGACGGGGUCACCCCGAGUGCCACCCGAUGAGGGUGGCUUUUCCCCGGUCUAAAAAGCCGGGGGCAAUAAGCGGGGGGCAAGUCUGGUGUCAGCCGCCGCGGUAAUACCAGCCCCGCGAGUGGUCGGGACGUUUAUUGGGCCUAAAGCGUCCGUAGCCGGCUCGGUAAGUCCCUCCUUAAAUCCACGGGCUCAACCCGUGGGCUGGGAGGGAUACUGCCGGGCUAGGGGGCGGGAGAGGCCGAGGGUACUCCCGGGGUAGGGGCGAAAUCCGUUAAUCCCGGGAGGACCACCAGUGGCGAAGGCGCUCGGCUGGAACGCGCCCGACGGUGAGGGACGAAAGCUGGGGGAGCAAAGGGGAUUAGAUACCCGGGUAGU